CGCGGCCUAUCAGCUUGUUGGUGGGGUAAUGGCCUACCAAGGCGACGACGGGUAGCCGGCCUGAGAGGGUGUCCGGCCACACUGGGACUGAGAUACGGCCCAGACUCCUACGGGAGGCAGCAGUGGGGAAUAUUGCACAAUGGGCGCAAGCCUGAUGCAGCGACGCCGCGUGGGGGAUGACGGCCUUCGGGUUGUAAACUUCUUUCAGUAGGGACGAAGCGUAAGUGACGGUACCUACAGAAGAAGCACCGGCCAACUACGUGCCAGCAGCCGCGGUAAUACGUAGGGCGCGAGCGUUGUCCGGAAUUACUGGGCGUAAAGAGCUCGUAGGUGGUUUGUCGCGUUGUUCGUGAAAUCUCACAACUCAAUUGUGAGCGUGCGGGUGAUACGGGCAGACUGGAGUACUGCAGGGGAGACUGGAAUUCCUGGUGUAGCGGUGGAAUGCGCAGAUAUCAGGAGGAACACCGGUGGCGAAGGCGGGUCUCUGGGCAGUAACUGACGCUGAGGAGCGAAAGCGUGGGGAGCGAACAGGAUUAGAUACCCUGGUAGUCCACGCCGUAAACGGUGGGUACUAGGUGUGGGUUUCCUUCCUUGGGAUCCGUGCCGUAGCUAACGCAUUAAGUACCCCGCCUGGGGA
rnacentral:rRNA from 1 species